rnacentral:rRNA from 1 species
ACGGAGGGUGCAAGCGUUAAUCGGAAUUACUGGGCGUAAAGCGCACGCAGGCGGUUUAUUAAGUCAGAUGUGAAAUCCCCGGGCUCAACCUGGGAACUGCAUCUGAUACUGGCAAGCUUGAGUCUCGUAGAGGGGGGAAGGAUUCCAGGUGUGCCGGGGAAGGGAGGAGAGAUCUGGCGGAAGACCGAUGGCGUGGGCAGCAAGCAGGAAGAAAACUGACGCUUAGGUGCGGAAUCGUCGGGAACAAAAAG